GCUAACCAUCAAGAAAGAACACACUCCAGUGGGCAUCCUUUAUCCAUCCAGACCCUCAUACAGAUGGUUGGAGUUUUGAUUCACCUAAAGUACCAUGCAAGAGCACUCAUUUUCACUCUUGAGACCAUGGUGUGACCUGCAAGGUCGAAUGGAGACUGUAAACAAGACAAUCUUGGAGUCACCUGCCUUCACUGGUUCAGUUGUUAGUCCAAUUACAGAUGGAGAUUAUAGAAGAGGAUGAUGUCUUUUCUCCAACAUCUUUCUAGACUGAUAAAAGAUCUAGACAGGCUUGA